rnacentral:rRNA from 1 species
CCUACGGGAGGCAGCAGUGGGGAAUAUUGCACAAUGGAGGGAACUCUGAUGCAGCGACGCCGCGUGAGUGAAGAAGUAAUUCGUUAUGUAAAGCUCUAUCAGCAGGGAAGAAAGUGACGGUACCUGAAAAAGAAGCUCCGGCUAAAUACGUGCCAGCAGCCGCGGUAAUACGUAUGGAGCAAGCGUUAUCCGGAUUUACUGGGUGUAAAGGGAGCGUAGACGGUUCUGCAAGUCUGAAGUGAAAGCCCGUGGCUUAACCGCGGAACGGCUUUGGAAACUGUGGAACUGGAGUGCUGGAGAGGCAAGCGGAAUUCCUAGUGUAGCGGUGAAAUGCGUAGAUAUUAGGAGGAACACCAGUGGCGAAGGCGGCUUGCUGGACAGUAACUGACGUUGAGGCUCGAAAGCGUGGGGAGCAAACAGGAUUAGAUACCCGGGUAGUC